AGAAUCAACGCUGGCGGCGCGCUUAACACAUGCAAGUCGCACGAGAAAGAGGAGCAAUCCUUGAGUACAGUGGCGCACGGGUGAGUAACACGUGGAUCAUCUACCUUCUAGUGGGGAAUACCCCUGGGAAACCGGGGAUAAUACCGCAUAAGCUCGAGAGAGGAAAGUCGAAAGGCGCUGGAAGAGGAGUCCGCGGCCGAUUAGCUAGUUGGCGGGGUAACGCCCACCAAGGCGAAGAUCGGUAGCCGGCCUGAGAGGGCACACGGCCACACUGGCACUGAAACACGGGCCAGACUCCUACGGGAGGCAGCAGUGGGGAAUCUUGCACAAUGGGGGCAACCCUGAUGCAGCAACGCCGCGUGAGCGAUGAAGCCCUUCGGGGUGUAAAGCUCUUUCGACGGGAACGAUAAUGACGGUACCCGAAGAAGAAGCUGCGGCUAACGUACGUGCCAGCCAGCCGC
rnacentral:rRNA from 1 species